rnacentral:rRNA from 1 species
UACAGAGGUGGCAAGCGUUGUUCGGAAUUACUGGGCGUAAAGGGCGCGUAGGCGGUUCGUUAAGUCCUGUGUGAAAUCCCCCGGCUCAACUGGGGAACUGCACAGGAAACUAGCGGGCUGAGUUCGGGAGAGGGAAGCGGAAUUCCGGGUGUAGCGGGUGAAAUGCGUAGAUAUCCGGAGGAACACCGGUGGCGAAGGCG